rnacentral:pre_miRNA from 1 species
CCUUGAUCGGCCAUGCCGGCUAAGUGAAUUUCUUGCCACAGUCUUAGCCUAAUUCACAAGGCUGGGCAAUACUUUCGCUUGCGCCGGCUAGAAGAACGGUGAGGG